rnacentral:rRNA from 1 species
GACGUAGGGCGCGAGCGUUGUCCGGAUUUAUUGGGCGUAAAGAGCUCGUAGGCGGCUUGUCGCGUCGUCCGUGAAACCUGGGCUCACUCAGGCUGCGGUCGAUACGGGCAGGCUAGAGUUCGGGUAGGGGAGACUGGAAUUCCUGGUGUAGCGGUGAAAUGCGCAGAUAUCAGGAGGAACACCUAUGGCGAAGGCAGCUCGCUGGGACGUUACUGACGCUGAGACGCGAAAGCGUGGGGAGCAAACAGG